rnacentral:rRNA from 1 species
CCUACGGUGGGCAGCAGUGGGGAAUCUUUGGCAAUGGGCGCAAGCCUGACCCAGCAACGCCGCGUGAAGGAAGGAGGCUUUCGGGUUUUAAACUUCUUUUAAGGGGGAAGAGCAUAAGACGGUACCUAUUGAAUAAGCCACGGCUAACUACGUGCCAGCAGCCGCGGUAAUACGUAGGUGGCAAGCGUUGGCCGGAUUUACUGGGUGUAAAGGGCGUGUAGCCGGGCUGACAAGUCAGAUGUGAAAUCACGUGGCUCAACCACGGAACUGCAUUUGAAACUGUCGGUCUUGAGUAUCGGAGAGGCAGGCGGAAUUCCUAGUGUAGCGGUGAAAUGCGUAGAUAUUAGGAGGAACACCAGUGGCGAAGGCGGCCUCCUGGACGACAACUGACGGUGAGGCGCGAAAGCGUGGGGAGCAAACAGGAUUAGAUACACGAGUAGUC